CCCUUAGAUGUUCUGGGCCGCACGCGCGCUACACUGAUGCAUUCAACGAGUUUCUUCCUGGUCCGAGAGGAAUGGGUAACCUUUUGAAAGUGCAUCGUGAUAGGGAUAGACUAUUGCAAUUAUUGGUCUUCAACGAGGAAUUCCUAGUAGACGUAGUUAAUCAGACUGCAUCGAUUACGUCCCUGCCCUUUGUACACACCGCCCGUCGCUCCUACCGAUUGAAUGCUCAGGUGAGCCAUUCGGACUUUCAUCAUGCUGGUUUCCAGUUUUGAUGAAGGAAAGUCUUGCGAACCUUAUCAUUUAGAGGAAGGAGAAGUCGUAACA
rnacentral:rRNA from 1 species